ensembl:lncRNA
CAAAAUUUGAGCUGCUGCACUAUUAGAGUGAGCAUAAAGAAGACAGAAUUAUGGCAGGACACAUAAAUGUAAAAAACCUGGUUCUGCAGCAGCAAGAAGCAUAGUUAUGGGGGUUGGGGGGACAGCGUACUUAGCAAAAAAAUAUAUUUCAGAGGGUUGUAUAACAUGCCAACCGGUCUCAUUAGUCCACUCUAGUGAGAAUUCUCCCCAAAAGGGGAAAUUUCAGAAGCAAACUGUUCUUAGAGGUUAAAUGCAGACUUAAUCACAGGAUAGUUAAGUAUCUUAAGUAAAAGACUUGAACAGAAACUUGCAUGCUGCAUGCUAAAUCGCUUCAGUAGUGUUCCACUCUUUGCAACCCCAUGGACCCCUCUGUCCACCUGGGCCUUGUUUACUAGACAACUUACUCAACUGGAUGAUUCAGUUUUCCCAUCUGACAAUACUAAAAAAUUUAUAAGAUUAUCAUAAGGUUAAAUGUGAUAUUACUUAUAAAGCAUAAAGAAUAACUCACAGAUGCUCAUUAAGAGGUAGCUGUUAUUGGCUAAAGAUCACAGGCCUGGGUAUCUGUGCUAUUUAGACCUAGAUGAUCACAUGCUUUUGUAUCUAUGUGUAUUGGAAAGGUGUCUACAGCCAAGGAUUAUGAUCAAACUAAAAUGACACCUCAGGUACCAAGUAAAUGGCACCCUUUUUCGAAUCCAAAGUUGCUUUCACUGUUCAUUGGUCAGGAGCUUUUGUAUAGUAGCAAGCCCUAUGAGCCACUAUCACCUUCAGAAUCCAGUUGAAAGCUUUCUAGGUCCUACGAUAAACACCUGAAUUAAGCCUUGUGCUAGCCACAGCCCAUACUCUGUGAGUGAGACUGCUGUCUUCCAGGGCAGUUUCAAGAGCAAGUCAGGCACAAAACAGGUGCUUGGUACCCUAGGAGCGUCAAGGAUACGUCAAGGAUACUACGGAAGCCUGCAGGAGGAAGUAUUAUCCAAAACUACAAGAGACUUGAGAUAGGCUUAACAACUUUUCAAGCCGGGAGAGUCUGAGAGGUUUUUGAAAUUCUGCUGCCCAACAGCAACACGCAGUCUAUAACCAAUGUACUCCGGCUUCAAAUCUCAGCCCCUUCCACUCUAUAGGGAGCUCUCCGUUGGGGAAGAAGUUAUCCGUGCCGACUGACCACUGUGGGGUUUUCUAACGUCUGCCCACUUUGGGCGACGCCCUCUUAGUAGAGAACAAAGACUUUUCACAGACCGCAGGCCGCGUCGGGGCUGGGGGCGGCCAUCCAAACGAGAGACGGAGCGGAGGAGGGGAAGGCAGGGCGUAUACAUGGGGCGUGGUCCCUCCAAACAGCGCGGCUUGGUACUCUGAAGGCUCGGAAGAAGAGAACGAGUAUCCCGACUCUUUCUUUAGCGACUCCGGAA